CGCUAGGAGCGCUGCUGCGCCGCCCGAGGACGAGACGCGGCAGUUGCAAGCUACGCUUCGCCGCGUGCAGUCACCGGGAGCGACUAUCCUGUCGGACGUUGGCCCAGAACAAACGCUCUGCUGGUGGCACCUGGUGACUUAGCCUUCAGCAACGUUCAGUGCUGGAGUCUGCACAUCUGCGAUUGGAGCACUCGCCAAUGCAGACGAACUAAGCAGUCAGCUUUGCCUGUGAUACAGCCAGAACAACACGAUGGAGCUGGAGGACCUGUACCGGCGCUACUGCUCGCGGCUGAAGCAGUCGCUCUUCCUGUCCGGACUCGGUGUUUCCACGGCCAGCUGCGCGUGCGCACUCACCGCUCUGCUCAUACAGGGCGGCGCGGGCGAGUCGCCGGUGCCGGUGUGGGUGCUGUCGGCGAUGUGCGCGGGCAGCGGCGCGCUGCUGGUGGCGGCGCAGGUGCC